rnacentral:rRNA from 1 species
AUUGAACGCUGGCGGCAGGCCUAACACAUGCAAGUCGAGCGGAUGAAGGGAGCUUGCUCCUGGAUUCAGCGGCGGACGGGUGAGUAAUGCCUAGGAAUCUGCCUGGUAGUGGGGGAUAACGUCCGGAAACGGGCGCUAAUACCGCAUACGUCCUGAGGGAGAAAGUGGGGGAUCUUUGGACCUCACGCUAUCAGAUGAGCCUAGGUCGGAUUAGCUAGUUGGUGGGGUAAAGGCCUACCAAGGCGACGAUCCGUAACUGGUCUGAGAGGAUGAUCAGUCACACUGGAACUGAGACACGGUCCAGACUCCUACGGGAGGCAGCAGUGGGGAAUAUUGGACAAUGGGCGAAAGCCUGAUCCAGCCAUGCCGCGUGUGUGAAGAAGGUCUUCGGAUUGUAAAGCACUUUAAGUUGGGAGGAAGGGCAGUAAGUUAAUACCUUGCUGUUUUGACGUUACCAACAGAAUAAGCACCGGCUAACCUCGUG